GUAGAACUGUGGAGAGCCACAUCGUGGAACACUAAAAGGACAGUGUCUGUCUGUCAGCUUCCCACACUCACUUGCUCUACUGCGGUCUCCAUGGCUCCACUGGUGCCCUGUUCUCUCUCCCGGGAUGGGAGUCAGAGCCUGAAGAAUCAGCAGGAAGCCCGUGGAGAGCCAGCCUGGAGGACUCAAUGAGGGAAUGACAAGGGCCGGCGCAGGCUGUGCAUCCCCCAUUACUAGAGCCUUCGCUAGGGUCACCCUCGUAGACCCCGGGGAGUUUCCACUGCACUAGAGUUCCACACCUCCCCCAGUUCCAAUCAUCUCCCCAGUACUCUCCCCUGAUCCCUCCCCCGCCUACAGCCUGAUACCUCCUAUUUCCAUCCCCACAUGCCCCCAGACUGCCUGCAAAAUCUAUCCUAUUUCCCCUUCCCAGGGAGAUACAUGUACCCAUCUCCCUGCUUGAACCCUUGUUACGUAGCCUCUCUGGGUCUGUGGAUUGUUGCCUGGUUCUCCUUUACUUUACAGUUAAUAUCCACUUAUGAGUGAGUACGUACUGUUUGUCUUUCUGCAUCUGGGUUAUCUCACUUGGGAUGAUUUUUUUCUAGUUCCAUUCAUUUGCCUGAAAUUUUCAUGGCAUUUUUAACUGCUAAAUAAUAUUCCAUUGUGUAAAUGUAUCACAUUUUCUUUAUCUAUUCUUUUUUAAAGAUUUAUUUAUUAUGUAUACAAUGUUCUGCCUCCAUGUGUGCUUGCAUGCCAGA